UUUAUAGAAUUAGCGUCAACCGAACCCAACCGUGCACAUUCAGUGGGCUGAAGCAAUACUGAAGUCUAAAUCAUUUCGACAACGUGUGGAUGGUACCAGGGUCAAGGUUCUGAUCUGAGGUUCCAUAGCUUGCUGAUACUAUCAGUUCCCGAUUGUACAAAUCUCUAUCUUGAAGUUUUCAUCAAUGGAGAGAGAGAAUCACAUCACAUCCUUCCUACCAAAGAAUACUUGGCAAUUGAAUGCAUUCAUUUGUGCACCUUUGUUCUUCUUACAUGUAGAACUUUGGCUAUGUUAAAGUGCUUGCCACUAAUUCCAAGCAAGGAGAGAAGGACUUUCAAACAGAGGUGGGGAAGUUGAAGUUCUUCUGACGACGAAUUCUGCCAUAGCUGCAGCUGAAAAGGGUUUAUAUGGUGUUGUGUGUGGGCCAUUUACAAGGUUCGGAUGCCCCUUUCAUCAUUUAGUCAUUCAUACCUCAAAUGAUCAUGGAUUUAUGUGUAUUUAGCUUCUAUAGGUUUGGUUAUAAGCUUGGUUUAGAAGAGCAAUGAUUCUGAUUAGGAAGUAAUGUGAUUAUAAUGUUGUUUGGCAAUGGCAGUUCUCUUUAUGAUGUUGAUGAUGAUGUCAGCAACAAUAUAUUAUUAGGAGUUAUAUAAUUUAUAUAAUA